AAUCAACGCUGGCGGCGUGCCUCAGACAUGCAAGUCGAACGAUUAAAGCUCUCUUCGGAGAGUGCAUAGAGUGGCGCACGGGUGAGUAACACGUAAGUAAUCUACCUUCGAGUGGGGAAUAACGUCCGGAAACGGGCGCUAAUACCGCAUAAUGCAGCGGCAUCGCAAGAUGACAGUUGUUAAAGGAGCAAUCCGCUUGAAGAGGAGCUUGCGGCAGAUUAGCUAGUUGGUAGGGUAAUGGCCUACCAAGGCUACGAUCUGUAACCGGUCUUAGAGGACGGUCGGUCACACUGACACUGAAUAACGGGUCAGACUCCUACGGGAGGCAGCAGUCGGGAAUUUUGGGCAAUGGGGGAAACCCUGACCCAGCAACGCCGCGUGAAGGAUGAAGUAUUUCGGUAUGUAAACUUCGAAAGAAUAGGAAGAAUUAAUGACGGUACUAUUUAUAAGUCCGGCUAACUACGUG
rnacentral:rRNA from 1 species